AAUUUGGUGGACUCACGACACUCGUGGCACACCAAUCUCACUUCUCGAACCCUAGGUAGAAACCCUAGGGUACACACCAAAAACCCUGCGCCCAAUUCUCUUUCUUUUCUUUCUUUUUCUCUCGGAAGGUUUUGGACCUUCACCUAGCGCAGAAGCCUUCCUCACACCCCAAAGUUUCUCUCCUAAAAUUUCUACGCACAUCCCAUCUUUCUCUUCUUUUUAAAACAACGUCGAACGUGUCUUAUCUGCGUGAGAGGAUAAAGACAAGAGGUUACACAUUUGAAUUCAAAUCAAAUUUGAAUUCAAACGAAAACCAACUUAUCCCUAUCCUUUUUGGGCGUGAGAAGAGAAG
rnacentral:lncRNA from 1 species